GACGAACGCUGGCGGCGUGCUUAACACAUGCAAGUCGAACGGAGAGGCCCUGCUUUUGUGGGGUGCUCGAGUGGCGAACGGGUGAGUAACACGUGAGUAACCUGCCCUUGACUUUGGGAUAACUUCAGGAAACUGGGGCUAAUACCGGAUAGGAGCUCCUGCUGCAUGGUGGGGGUUGGAAAGUUUCGGCGGUUGGGGAUGGACUCGCGGCUUAUCAGCUUGUUGGUGGGGUAGUGGCUUACCAAGGCUUUGACGGGUAGCCGGCCUGAGAGGGUGACCGGCCACAUUGGGACUGAGAUACGGCCCAGACUCCUACGGGAGGCAGCAGUGGGGAAUAUUGCACAAUGGGCGGAAGCCUGAUGCAGCAACGCCGCGUGCGGGAUGACGGCCUUCGGGUUGUAAACCGCUUUCGCCUGUGACGAAGCGUGAGUGACGGUAAUGGGUAAAGAAGCACCGGCUAACUACG
rnacentral:rRNA from 1 species